UGCAUCCAGCGCUGGUGCCAGCAGCCUCCUACAACUAACCCCUGCUCUGCAUCCAGCGCUGGUCCCAGCCUCCUACCACUAACUCCUGCCCAGAAUCCAGGAGACUGUGUUGGUGUAACCUAAAGUAAACAACCUCUACCCAUCCACCAUUACAGAUGUCGAAACCCAGCAACCCUGGCAGGUUGGGCAAGGUCACCCAGGACCAUCAGGAGGUGCAUGCAUCCCAAUGCGACAACACUCACCUCUGCACAUGCUCACUUCAACAAGAGCAACAGAAAGCAGAGUGUAUAGGGAGGGAGAGAGGGCAGCCGACGCCCCUUUAGAGCGCCCCCUGGAAGACAAACCCUCGAUGCCAGCAGCCAGACAGUCAGAGAGAAGCACAGAUUAUAAGGACAAAACCAACAACACCUAAAGCGAGGCCUCCGAUAGCGAGUGGAUAGACCCUUCAUUGGGACAGACCCAAGAAUAGACACCAAUAAUUGUAUUGAAUAACUAAUGAUACAUUAUUGAAUAAUAAUUUGAUUAAAUAAAUAAAUAAAAAAAAUAUAUUAAUAUGUUGAUGCUACAGAGAGCUGUUGAUUUAGGUCCCCUCAGCUACUUUUUUCCACAGCUCCACCCUCACCUCCACCACCUAACCAUCACCCUCAUUUAUUUGUGUUAAUUGGAAUACAUUUGAAAAGUAAAGAUUUAUUAUUAUCAACUUUAAAUAGUCAUUGAUUUCCAUUCAGUAUUCCUCUUUUGUUUUGGCCCGAAAUUUACAAUUUAUGUAGGUAAGGGCCUAUUAGUAAUACAAAAUAUUUUUGUACCAUGAUAGGGAUCCAUUAGUCAUUGAACGUUCCCUGAAUCUAAUAGCGUGCUACUCCAACAACGCUUCUUGUGUGAGAACGUAACAAUGACACCUUGUGCUCGCCUUGAUAUCAUAAAGGUUAUAGCAGGUAGGUAGGUUAUAUAACUCAUAAAUUAUUAAUUCACAUUUUGGGGACAAUAAACAUGUGUGAUUUAUAUGUUUUUAAAGUAAUUUCAUAUUUAAUAACAAUAAUCUGCGCUAUGACCAAAGUGAACCAAAAAAAUGGUGCCUAUUAUCGUUCAAACUUGUUGGCAGCGAUUUGAGAAAUGUUGUUUUCUUUUUAAACUUGUUAUUUUAAAUAUCUUUGUCAACAAAUAAAAUAUACAUACAAGCCAUAAAUUAUCAA